GUGCGUCUGUGUGUCUGAGCGUGGGUGUGUGCGUGUGUGUGUGCGUCUGUGUGUCUGAGCCUGGGUGUGUGUGUGUGUGUGUGCGUCUGUGUGUCUGAGCGUGGGUGUGUGUGUGUGUGUGUGCGUCUGUGUGUCUGAGCCUGGGUGUGUGUGUGUGUGUGUGUGUGUGUGUGUGUGUGCGUCUGUGUGUCUGAGCCUGGGUGUGUGUGUGUGUGUGCGUCUGUGUGUCUGAGCCUGGGUGUGUGUGUGUGUGUGUGCGUCUGUGUGUCUGAGCCUGGGUGUGUGUGUGUGUGUGUGUGUGUGUGUGCAUGUUUCAGUGGUAGGGAGUGUUUUGGGCAUUACUCUGGAUGGAGAAACACAGAAGAGAAAGGAAGGAGACAGAGGAUGAUGAAGGGGAACAUGAGGAGGAUGAAGGGUAAUAGGAGGAGGAUGAAGGGGAACAUGAGGAGGAUGAAGGGUAAUAGGAGGAGGAUGAAGGGGAACAUGAGGAGGAUGAAGGGUAAUAGGAGGAGGAUGAAGGGUAAUAGGAGGAGGAUGAAGGGUAAUAGGAGGAGGAUGAAGGGUAAUAGGAGGAGGAUGAAGGGUAAUAGGAGGAGGAUGAAGGGGAACAUGAGGAGGAGGAAGGGUAAUAGGAGGAGGAUGAAGGGGAACAUGAGGAGGAGGAAGGGAACAUGAGGAGGAUUAAGGGUAAUAGGAGGAGGAUGAAGGGGAACAUGAGGAGGAUGAAGGGUAAUAGGAGGAGGAUGAAGGGGAACAUGAGGAGGAGGAAGGGUAAUAGGAGGAGGAUGAAGGGGAACAUGAGGAGGAUGAAGGGUAAUAGGAGGAGGAUGAAGGGGAACAUGAGGAGGAGGAAGGGUAAUAGGAGGAGGAUGAAGGGGAACAUGAGGAGGAUUAAGGGUAACAUGAGGAGGAUUAAGGGUAAUAGGAGGAGGAUGAAGGGGAACAUGAGGAGGAGGAAGGUAACAUGAGGAGGAUAAAGGGUAAUAGGAGGAGGAUGAAGGGGAACAUGAGGAGGAGGAAGGGUAAUAGGAGGAGGAGGAAGGGUAAUAGGAGGAGGAUGAAGGGGAACAUGAGGAGGAGGAAGGUAACAUGAGGAGGAUGAAGGGUAAUAGGAGGAGGAUGAAGGGGAACAUGAGGAGGAGGAAGGUAACAUGAGGAGGAUGAAGGGUAAUAGGUGGAGGAUGAAGGGGAACAUGAGGAGGAGGAAGGUAACAUGAGGAGGAGGAAGGGGAAAAGGAGGAGGAUGAAGGGGAACAUGAGGAGGAGGAAGGUAACAUGAGGAGGAUGAAGGGGAAAAGGAGGAGGAUGAAGGGGAACAUGAGGAGACACCACUCAUAACCAUGAGUUUCUCAUAGGAACGUUUAGUCAUUUAAUACUGCUAUUUAUAGUGUGUUGGACAAUGUCCCCCAUAGCUCUCUCUUUAGAGCUCUCUCUUUGUCCCCUACGGCUCUGUCUUUGUCCCCCACAGCUCUCUCUUCAGAGCUCUCUCUUUGUCCCCCACAGCUCUCUCUCUUUGUCCCCCAC
ensembl:lncRNA